GCUGAAGAUGAUAAACUUAGCACUUCCUAGGAGGCAACCCAGAUUUUAAGUUUUCAAUUUUUGCUUUUGCCUUUGCUUUCUUUUGUAUUUUGUUUAGGAUAAUUGAGUCUUGCUUUGUGUCUUUUGUAGGGAUCUAAAAAUAAUCUUGGCUAAGUUGGGAGAAGAAUCAGUUUUAAAAAGACUUAUGGAUCAAGUGAUAUCUCUUCUUUUCUUUCUCUUUACAUGCACUGUUCAUUUUUUCUGCUCCAUUGAGGACAAUGUUGAUUAAGUUGGGAGGGAGGAUA
rnacentral:lncRNA from 1 species